GUGGUGGGAUUGACCAACCCUAUCCACCAAUCCCCCGUCCGCCUCCUCCUCCCCUGCUCGCUCGCCCCGCGUGCGGUCGCCCCCACUCACGGCGAUGAGCGGGCAAGGCCGCGUGAGCCGAUGGGCCAUUGCAGUCGCCGCCGGGAGCGGCUGCCUCCUCUUCCCUUCCGGUCCCCCGGUUCCUCCUCCGCCGCCGUCGCCGCUCUCCACUGGCUGGUGAGCUUCACCCCUCCCCUCCUCUCCUUUCCCCCACAAUAUCCACCUCCUGCCCCCAUCCUUCGCGCCCGAGAAGCCGUGGCCGUCGCUUCAUCGAGGGAACGGCGUGCCGGAUCCGGCGUCCCCGUUCCAUGUCGGCCACCGUCCUCUUACCACCCGCCUCCCGCUUCCCGACCCAUCCCCGUCUCUCGACGCGGCGCAGGUAGGAGCUGGCUGUUCAAGUGUCCAUUGACGGCGGCGAGCCCGAGCCGGCGACGUAGAUCUUACCGGUGGACUGCCGGUCGUCGACGCGUUGCCUCGGACUCCCACAGACGCAGCAGCAGCCGCAGCAGAGGAUGGCCACCGAGGGGAGAAAUAUUGCAAUUUAUGGUGAGACUGCUGAUGGUUUGGAGGAUGACGGCAGCCUGGAGCAGGAGCGUUUACUCGCUGUGCCUAUGGUAGUGGCGGCGACGAUGGCGCGUAUGGUAGUGGCGGCGACGAUGGCGCGUAUGGUAGUGGCGGCGGCCAGGACGUGCCCUCGGCGAUCUCGACAUCCAAGUCAAGGAUUGGCGGCGCAAGAACGAUGGCGCUGCAGGGGAUCGAACCAGAGGAAUGUGAUCCAUCCUGUCAAGAUCGGUUUCUGCGUGUGGGUCUGACGAAACACCAUCAAGAGAUAGCUGAAUGUUUCAACCAAAGGGGUGUGUCUUUAAUUUUCCUUUUAAGAAGAAAGAAAACUUCUGCAGCAAAAUACCAGGAAACUAAAUGGAACUCAUAAAGCUCAGGAGCAUAAUGGACGCCAGGUUCACCUUUUUUUCCUUUUCUUGGUCAUACUCACAGCCCAAUAUCACAGCCAGCCAAUUCACUUCAUGCUAUAUUCGCAAAAAAAAAAAAAAAAUUCACUUCAUGCUAGAUUUACAAUUUAGUUGAUACAAAAAGGCAAUGAUGUUUAUUUAUGACCUAACACUAGCAGUUAACCCAUUUUAUUCGGCUUAUGAGCAGUAUCAGUACACUAUGUAAUAAAUGAAACAUUAUGUGUUUUUCUAGCAGACCCGAAAUAACAAACUUAGUGAAGAUCCUAAAAGCAACAAUGGAAUGAUUUGUAAGGAAAUCUAACCAAACAAACAAACAUAACCAAACUUGUCUCAUUUUAUAGCAUUUAGAUAAUGUAAAACAUUGUACAAUUGGUAUUGUACAACUAUUUAUUGGGUAGGUUAGCGUGUAAACAACAUAGUGCGUGCUUUCGUUUAUAUUACAAUUUAUUUGAUUCACAGAACCCUGGUAGUGACAUGAUUUUGGCAGGAGAAAGGAGGAUUAUCAUUUCUAGAGGUUGAAUUUUUUUUCUUUUAAUGAAUUGCAAAUGCUAAAUUCUGUUACCAUGAAUUAGAAAUUAUAAUACUCUAGCUAUACAGUGUUAGAAGAUUAUCCUUUAACAUUUCUACUGAAUAUCAAAUACAGUAUCAGUUAGGGCUUACAAUUCUACAUUUCUACUGAAUAUCAAAUAUCAAUUAGUACUAAUCGCAUAAAAUAAAUUAGUAUUUACCAUUCUACGUUUCUCCUGAAUAUUAGUAUCACAGGUUUAUACUAAUUUUCCAACCAGGAGAACUCCAGUUCUGAAAGGUUUAUACUCACCGGUGAGCUAUUCCCAGUAGAAAUUACUGGAUAGGAGCAAAAUUGUUUUUCAAGAUCAUGUGAGUUGAGCUGCGGCUUGGAUGGGGAUGUUGGUGCUGUUCAAGAGGCCUGCUGGGUUUGCCUUUUUCAAGGUUCUGAACCAGGGCAGGAUCUAUGGAAGAAGUUCACGACUCGGACUCGACGAGAAAGGUUUGUGCUUCAUCUUUUUUUUUGAUGGCAAAAUAACUUCUCUUUAUGAAACAAUCAGUACUUCAUAUAUCUAUUAUAACAGAGUAAGUCAACAAAAGCCCUUUUAUUUGAAUGAACAAGAAUCCGUUGUGUGCUGCUGAGCUAUGUGCCCCUUUUCCAAAUGUUAUAAAUGUUAUCUUAACUUAGUUGUCACAUAGAAGUUGGUUUGGGCUACUGGGCUCAUUUGAUGUUUGCAUGACUUAUUUGAACCCGAUGCCAGCCUCACCGGCAUCCUGAGGCGACAGAGCGACGGCCGCGCUCGACACCCUCUUUCGCAACUCGACGACAGCCUAGCGUCAUAGGCGGCUCAUACGGUGGUCUAGAAGAUGGCGACCCAUUUGGGUGGGCGACAACGACCGCAGCUGGUGCACGCGCUCACACUCAACCCGUCCAUACUCAACUCUUCCUCUCGGGUGCGGACUGAGAAUUGGAUGCUCUGUGCCAGCAUAUGGAAGUGUUGUGACCACUGUUGUUCCGGAUGUGAGGUAUAAUGCUAAUUGGACUUGUGAAUUUAUCGUGUCUUGGAAUGGAUUGCCGAAAUGUUGGGGUUUUCUCAGUAUGUAGUUUCUUUUACUUAUAUUUUAUUCUUAUAAUUCAGUGGUCCUUGAUUGCAACCUGGUGUCAUCCUGUUCCUACUCACAGGUUACAGUAGUGCACGAGCUGACAAGGAAGAAAUCUUGGUUUCAAAGUUCUCUCUGUACGUGGCUAGCUGAGUCGGGUCUACUUAACUUUGCUAUCUGAAAGAUAUAGCUAUUUUAUUUUCCCAUUCAAUUAGGCAAUCUUUUGAGGAGGUUAAAAUGAGUUAUAUUUUGGGCAGGCUUGAUGGCUAUUUGUAUGUUGGGCCAUGUUAGUGGUGUUCUUUAUUUGUUCAUGGGUCAGAUUGUUUGUUUGGUCUUAUGGUUUAGACGUUUGUCCUGACAGUUUUGGUAUGUUUAUAUAGUACUUUUGGAAUGCGAUAUGAUUCUUUUUGGGUUUUUUAGUUCACGCAUUCAUUCUAAGAAUCUUGAUAUCCGGCUGUGUUGUUGUAGAUUUGUAAGUUUUUUGCUUGGGAGCCAUCUAUUUAGCCAUGUUGGAGUAGGCUAUAUGAUUUUUUCAGUUUUGACCACGUAUGCUUCUUCCUUGGUCUGUUCACCAAGGUUUGCUCCCUUCCUUUCUCACUUUCAUGCAUUAGCUUUGUUUCAUUAUACUCUUAUGAUGCUCUGCGUCUGUGAUGAUCCACCACCAACUGAGGUAUAUAAAUAAGCUGUGUUUCCUACAUUUGUGCUGAUCCACACAACUUGCUGAUCUCCAACUUAUUUCUUUUCUGACCAUCUGCAUUUGUGCAUGUAGUCAUGGACACCGACUCAAAAAAUGAACAAGGUUACCCCUUCAGCUGCAGGUGCAGGUAAAUCAUCUUGCAAUACCCAUGGUGCCACACGUGUUUUAUUCACCAAUCCUGUCAAGAGAAAUCAAAAUCAAGACGCCAAUCAGCUUAGCCUUGGGCUGCUCCUUUUCUGCCUUUUGUUUCCUGUAUACACUCAUCUUUCUUUGAUGGACCUGAAUUUCUUUUUGUUGUGUUAGGUUGACGGUGACACUGCAGAUGUAGCUUCUCUGACCGCUACCGAAGACACCGCUGAACAGCUUAAUCAGACAAAGACAAAGUGCUGUUAUGUAGGCAUGGUUUAAAAACUAGAGCCUUUGGCUGGUCAAGUACCCUUGCCAAAGCGUUCGUGUAAUCUCUUCAAGUUGUAUGAAGCAAAUUCUAUGUAUGUAACACCCAGGAAGAAUAUUAUAAUAAUUAUAUAGAAGCAGAGAAUCAACCUUGCUA